GACGAACGCUGGCGGCGUGCGUAACACAUGCAAGUCGAACGGAAAGGCCCUGCUUUUGUGGGGUGCUCGAGUGGCGAACGGGUGAGUAACACGUGAGUAACCUGCCCUUGACUUUGGGAUAACUUCAGGAAACUGGGGCCAAUACCGGAUAGGAGCUCCUGCUGCAUGGUGGGGGUUGGAAAGUUUCGGCGGUUGGGGAUGGACUCGCGGCUUAUCAGCUUGUUGGUGGGGUAGUGGCUUACCAAGGCUUUGACGGGUAGCCGGCCUGAGAGGGUGACCGGCCACAUUGGGACUGAGAUACGGCCCAGACUCCUACGGGAGGCAGCAGUGGGGAAUAUUGCACAAUGGGCGGAAGCCUGAUGCAGCAACGCCGCGUGCGGGAUGACGGCCUUCGGGUUGUAAACCGCUUUCGCCUGUGACGAAGCGUGAGUGACGGUAAUGGGUAAAGAAGCACCGGCUAACUACGUG
rnacentral:rRNA from 1 species